rnacentral:rRNA from 1 species
UAAUGUAUGGGGAUCUGCCCGAUAGAGGGGGAUAACUACUGGAAACGGUGGCUAAUACCGCAUAAUGUCUACGGACCAAAGCAGGGGCUCUUCGGACCUUGCACUAUCGGAUGAACCAUAUGGGAUUAGCUAGUAGGUGGGGUAAAGGCUCACCUAGGCGACGAUCUCUAGCUGGUCUGAGAGGAUGAUCAGCCACACUGGGACUGAGACACGGCCCAG